rnacentral:rRNA from 2 species
GGGCACGUGCGGCGUGCCUAUACAUGCAGUCGAACGAACUCUGGUAUUGAUUGGUGCUUGCAUCAUGAUUUACAUUUGAGUGAGUGGCGAACUGGUGAGUAACACGUGGGAAACCUGCCCAGAAGCGGGGGAUAACACCUGGAAACAGAUGCUAAUACCGCAUAACAACUUGGACCGCAUGGUCCGAGUUUGAAAGAUGGCUUCGGCUAUCACUUCUGGAUGGUCCCGCGGCGUAUUAGCUAGAUGGUGAGGUAACGGCUCACCAUGGCAAUGAUACGUAGCCGACCUGAGAGGGUAAUCGGCCACAUUGGGACUGAGACACGGCCCAAACUCCUACGGGAGGCAGCAGUAGGGAAUCUUCCACAAUGGACGAAAGUCUGAUGGAGCAACGCCGCGUGAGUGAAGAAGGGUUUCGGCUCGUAAAACUCUGUUGUUAAAGAAGAACAUAUCUGAGAGUAACUGUUCAGGUAUUGACGGUAUUUAACCAGAAAGCCACGGCUAACUACGUGCCAGCAGCCGCGGUAAUACGUAGGUGGCAAGCGUUGUCCGGAUUUAUUGGGCGUAAAGCGAGCGCAGGCGGUUUUUUAAGUCUGAUGUGAAAGCCUUCGGCUCAACCGAAGAAGUGCAUCGGAAACUGGGAAACUUGAGUGCAGAAGAGGACAGUGGAACUCCAUGUGUAGCGGUGAAAUGCGUAGAUAUAUGGAAGAACACCAGUGGCGAAGGCGGCUGUCUGGUCUGUAACUGACGCUGAGGCUCGAAAGUAUGGGUAGCAAACAGGAUUAGAUACCCUGGUAGUCCAUACCGUAAACGAUGAAUGCUAAGUGUUGGAGGGUUUCCGCCCUUCAGUGCUGCAGCUAACGCAUUAAGCAUUCCGCCUGGGGAGUACGGCCGCAAGGCUGAAACUCAAAGGAAUUGACGGGGGCCCGCACAAGCGGUGGAGCAUGUGGUUUAAUUCGAAGCUACGCGAAGAACCUUACCAGGUCUUGACAUACUAUGCAAAUCUAAGAGAUUAGACGUUCCCUUCGGGGACAUGGAUACAGGUGGUGCAUGGUUGUCGUCAGCUCGUGUCGUGAGAUGUUUGGGUUAAGUCCCGCAACGAGCGCAACCCUUAUUAUCAGUUGCCAGCAUUAAGUUGGGCACUCUGGUGAGACUGCCGGUGACAAACCGGAGGAAAGGGGGGGGAUGAAGUCAAAUCAUCAUGCCCCUUAUGACCUGGGGCUACACACUUGC